rnacentral:rRNA from 1 species
CUUUACUGCAGCUUUGCAGUGGCAUUAGGAGAGGGCUGUAUAGGAUAGAUGAGAGGCUUUGAAGCAUGAGCACUAGCUUGCGUAGAGCCAACCUUGAAAUACCACCCUGACCUCUUCUGAUGUCUAACCACGAUCGGUCAUCCCGAUCUGGGACCCUGCAUGGUGGGCAGUUUGACUGGGGCGGUCGCCUCCCAAAUAGUAACGGAGGCGCGCGAUGGUGGGCUCAAGCCGGUCGGACAUCGGCUGUUGAGUGCAAUGGCAUAAGCCCGCCUGACUGCGAGAGUGACAGCUCGAGCAGAGACGAAAGUCGGCCAUAGUGAUCCGGUGGUCCCGCGUGGAAGGGCCAUCGCUCAACGGAUAAAAGGUA